GUUCAAAGACCAUGAUGGUAUAUCAGCCCACAGAGCUAACUAGGUAUUCCUGUUUCCCCAGAACACAGUUAACCUGACAAAUGGCUCAGGACCACUAUGGGGAAAGCUCUGUGGAAUACUCACUAUACCUAUGUGCAAUUAUACCAGAAGGUCCUUCCUGAGGGAGUAUAGCCUUCUAUUCAAAGGGUGGACCCAGAAUGAACUACAGCUGGAUGAGAGACUAUGGUUUUCUACUGUGGCAGCUGAGAUGAGCCUUUUGUGUUAUUUUACAAGCGGAGCAACAUUCUAAUCAAGCAUGUAUCUAUUGCCACCCCGACCCCUCCAUCACAGCCCUGAUCUCUUUAGCCGCUCCUGUAAGUUAAUGUACCCCAUUGCUGUACCACCUUAGCCUUACUGCAUAUGACAGUAAUGACACCACCACUCACUUCUGACCCUAAGUGCAACCUCCUGACCUCUAACAUUCUAGAAUCUCAUUACCCCAUUGAUAUUAGGGAGCCCAGUUCAUAGCAACAUCCCCCAUAGUUAGCCCCAACCUUCAGAAGGUAGCCAUCACCAAGUUUCUUAAAGAUGCCAGUGUUCCCAUCAUCUGUGCCCUCUUUACUGCCUUAGUAAAGGGGUACCCUCAGGGCCCUCCAAAUGACCAUACUCAGAGUGGAAUUCAUCUUACAUAAUAAAUCCAUUCUAACAUGUCCAUCUCUCUGAGCCCCUUGGCCCCUUCCCUAAAUACUGUGCCAAAGAAAUUCUGCCUUCCCCACCUCAUUACACCCAACUGGUUCUCAAACUUUAGUGGGCAUCUGAAUCACUGGGCAGACUUUAGUGGCUUUAAUGAGGUUUUUAAAAGCCAACCCACUCUACAACCCCUAUAAUCAUUGUCCCUAUACUAUUCAAUAGCCAUAGUCACCACAUAUCACAACACCUCACUUUCUACCUGUGCUUCAUCCCAAGUAAACCUAGGAGAAAACAUUCUUCAUUAUAUAAUGCCAUGGUCUCCACAGAGUUAUUUCUACUCCCCUUAUUGCUGGCGUAGAGGUUCUUAUUCCCAUCCGACUAGUGAACAGCACAGCUCCAAAAUGCCAGUCAGGGGUUUGCUUUCUGGAACUGCUGCUAGUACCAUAUCUUAAGGCAGGAAACAGAGCUUGAGGCAGGGGGCUUUCGUGUUUUACUUAACUAGAGAAUCUGAUCUAAGGAGGUGGGAAUGAGGGUUAAAGAAAGUAAAACUGGGAAAGAGGAGGAGUGCGUGAAGGAGCAUCAGACUAGCCAGCACUAUUGACUCUUGAUGCUUGUUCCUGCGGGAUCAUCCCUGAGAAGCAGUGCAAGUGCCAUACACCAGGAGGGAAAGGAGGCAGAACUGACCCACUAGAUCCCAGCUCCCAUUAGAAAAGGUUCAUCUCAUGAAUAAAACAUGUACAUCCAAGUGGCAUACGCUACUUGAGUGGGGAUCUUGCAGCAUCACCAAAAGUAAAAUCCUGGAGCAUGAAGCAUCAGAUGCAGGACACUAACAGGUUACGUCUCUGUAAAAUCCAGGGGAGCUCACACAUAUUUGGUUACCAAAGUAGCAACUAGAAGAGAUAAAGUAGCCAUAUAAGAAAUAUUCAAUACAAAUAGUGUAUAAAACAAAUGACCUCCAAAUGACCAUAGACCAAGAGCUUACUUUAUAUUGGCCAGGCAGGUGUGGGAAGACUUGACAUUUUACAACUAAACUAAUAUAUUUAUAAUGUGUAAGGAGGCAGUAAGCACAGUAUAUAUUACAGAGGGUCCACCAACAAAUGCUCACUAUUGUAGAAAUUUUGUAAAAAACAACCCCUUCAAAAAGCAUGCUUUUAAAUUUUUAAAAAUAUUUUAUUUGUUUAUUUAUUUAUUUGAGAGAGAGGAAGAGGAGCAGAGAGAGAGGGAUAAGCAGACUGUGCAAAGCCUGAUACUGGGCUCGAUCCCAUGACCCUGAGAUCAUGACCUGAAUUGAAAUCAAGAGCAGAUGCUUAAUCGACUGAUCCACCCAGCACCCCCCACCCCAGAAACCAUGUUUAAGGAAUAUUGCUUUGAUGUUGCCAUCUGUUGCCGCUAAAAGGCACACAGAAUUAAGAAACCUGGGUCACUCUCUUAUGUCUUAGGCAAGUCACCUAACUUCCCUGGAUAUCAGUUCUCUCAUCUUUAAAAUUGGUAUGGUGAUGCCCUCUCGUUUUUUGACAGCCUUAUUGAGAUAUAAUUAUCAUACAAUAGGCUUCAAAUAUAAGCUUAUAACAUACACAAUUUGAUGAAUUUUGAUGAAUUCAAAAUUUGAUGAAUUUUGAUGAAUUUGAUGAAUAUAUAUGUAUAUAUACAUAUAUAUACACACACACACACCCGUAAAGCUAUCAUCAAGGUAAUAAACAUACACCUACUCCCACAGAUUUCUUAUCCUUCUUUUGCUCCACCUCUUUCUGCCCUCCCCCUCCCCAGGCAAUUGGUGAUCUGCUUUCUAUAGAUUAUUAUACAUUUUCAGAAUUUUAUGUAAACAGAAUCAUGCAGUGUUUACUUGUGUGUGUGUGUGUGUGUGUGUGUGUGUGUGUGUGUGUGUGAUAUUUCUUUCGUUCAGUGUAAUUAUUUUGAGCUCCAUCACACUAGUGUGUCAAUAGUGCCAGGCUUCAGUAGUCUCUGUAUUUCAUUUUAGAUCAUUUUUAGUGUUCAAGUUCACUGAUCUUUCUUCUGCAAUGUCCAAUCUGUCCCUAAUUCCAUCAGUGAAUUUUCCAUCUCACACAUUAUAGUUUUUAUCUUCAGUUCAAUUUCAAUCUUUUUAAUAUUUUCUAUGUCUCCACUAAACUUUUUUGUCCUUGACUAUGUUAGUUCUGAAUUGAUUUCAGUUGAUAAGCUUUUCUUCUUAUUAUCUUUCAUAUUUUCCAGCUUCUUUGUAUAUCUGGUAUUUUUUUCAAUGCCAGACAUAGUGAUUACCUUGUUGGGUGUUGGAUAUUUUUGUAUUCUUAUAAAUUAUUCUUGAGAAUUUGUUCUAGGAUCAAUUACUUACAAAAUGUUUGAUCCUUUCACAUUUUAUUUUAAAGAUUUGUUAAGUGGGACAAGGCUAUCAAGGACUAACUAUUCUUACUAUUGAGGAAAGAUCCUUCUGAAAUCUCUAUUCAAUACCUGUGCAUCGGGAUCCCUGGGUAGCACAGCGGUUUGGCGCCUGCCUUUGGCCCAGGGCGUGAUCCUAGAAACCCGGGAUCGAGUCCCGUGUCGGGCUCCCGGUGCAUGGAGCCUGCUUCUCCCUCUGCCUGUGUCUCUGCUUCUUUCUCUUCUCUCUGUGUGACUAUCAUAAAAAAAAAAAAAAAAAAAAAAAA
rnacentral:lncRNA from 1 species